CAAUUCCUCCAACCAAAUCCAAGCGAAGUUUUGGUGUGCAGUUUACAAUAGGCCUAAAAGUUCAUUAAUUAAUUCAGAGUUCGUUGGCCAGGCAGUGUUCGUAGCCAAGAUAUAAUCUAGAGUUCUCAAUUGUCAGCAAUGCAACAUUUGAGUCAGAAGUGCUUGGGAGUGUGUUGGACCUUUGCAAGACUUCGAGCUGUGCGACAGCUCUCAUCAAAAGUACCACCAAAACCAACAUGGGAAAAAGUGGACUUUGAUGCUUUACCAAAGGUCCCAGAGGUAGAUUUAGCACUCGUUGAACAACUGGAGCGGAUCUCCCUGGUUGAGUUCAAUAAUGAGACAGGACUUGAGUGGCUUCGCAGUUCUGUCAAGUCGGCCAAUCGACUUCACGUAGUCGAUACAGAGGGUGUGGAGCCUUUGGACAAUGUUUUGGAGGACAGGUAACCUCAUCUUUCCUGUGAGUGGUUGGAGGGCACCAGUGAGAGUUGUGGCUCUGUGAGGAUCAAGUGACAGAGGGAAACUGUACUGAACAAGUUUUGUUGAACGCCUUGAAAACAGAAGAGCAGUACUUUGUAGCACCUCCUGGUAAUGUGCCAUUAAAGAAAAGAGACAAGCAACAUCUUAAACUUGGCCUGCAAGAAGAUGAGGAUUCGUCCUGACAGUGAUAGAUCAUUUGACUCUAAGGAGCCACAUUUUGUGAAACAUGAAUGGUGUUUGAUGUGUUUGGAGACCUAGUAACAAAAAACUUUGCUUACGUCUGCUAUACUUAUAGAAAUGAGAAAUAUGAGAGUGAGAAUUGAAAAAAUUGAAGGAGAUUGCAUUUGUUGGCCCCUUUCCAGACUAAAGCCCCGGUUACAUGCAACAAUAAAUUGUGUCAGAUUCAUUGUAUGCGAGAACUGUCCGUUUUAUUAAACUGUGAUGUCUGUUUUCACGUUCCAAUCUAUCGUCAAGUUUUCUUUCGAUCGAAGAGAUUCCUCGUCAUAAUUAAGCCAUCAUGUCUCUUUGCGACAACAGCGAUUUGCCUGCUCUCUAUGUGAAGGUAUCGAGCUCGGGACUUUCUGAAUGAAAAGCGAACAUUGUACCUCUAGAUCGCGAGAAAUCCCCCUACCAACCCCUUCCCCUGUACAUUUUGGUUAUAGCAGAACAGCGUCUUUAGAAAAAGGUGGCCAUACUGUAGUGUUGUGUGUAGAAAGAGAAGCUUUGACUUGGCAGCAGAUGUGCAACGCACCGAGUGACCUUGAUGCACAAUUUCACUAUUGAUGAUCAAUUAAAUAAUAAAAUUACUAAAAUUUACAUAAUUUCACAUCGAAUCAGGUUCCCUGCUAUCUGCUCUGCUUAUUUUGAGAUACUGUUUCCGAAUAUGAAAUCAGUUUUAAGAUGCAAUUAUUAUUUUUUAAAUUUUGCGCCUUAAAUUAAGUCCUGGUCGGCUGUGAAUUUCAAAGUGAUUCUAGUCAAAGCGUGUCUCCCCCAAAUCUGACCACGAUUGCACGGAAAAUAUCAAGCAGCGUUUGAUUUCUCGACCGAGUCUCCAAGCCAUCAUCUCAUCGUCCAAAUUUUGAACAAUUUUGUUGUUACACCUAACGAUUUAUCGUAUGAUCGCUAGAUCGUCCAGUUUUUGUACAAUUUAUCAUUACCGGUACGUGUAACCGGGCCGUAACUCAUGGAUUUAAUAAAGGUGACAAUAAAUUAUAAUGGCACCGCU
rnacentral:misc_RNA from 1 species